rnacentral:rRNA from 1 species
UACAGAGACUGCAAGCGUUAUUCGGAUUCACUGGGCGUAAAGGGUGCGCAGGUGGUUGUGUGUGUCAGGUGUGAAAUCCCGAGGCUUAACUUCGGGGCUGCGCCUGAAACUGCAUGACUAGAGCAUUGGAGAGGGUAGUGGAAUUCACGGUGUAGCAGUGAAAUGCGUAGAUAUCGUGAGGAACACCAGAGGCGAAGGCGACUACCUGGACAAUUGCUGACACUCAGGCACGAAAGCAUGGGGAGCAAAAGGG